UAGCCUUUUUUUAUUCUGUUUGGUUUGGUUCAGGUAUCACCUACUCUGGAAAUUUUUUCUGGCCCCAGUAUUCUAGAGUGGAUAUUCUUCUAGCAAGAAGAGCAAAAUGAUAUAAACUGUUGUUACCUUUGUUGGGUCUCUUGUCUCUCUUACUAUCCUUUGAGAAAGCAUUCGGUCUUCUAUUUCAGUUUUGGGAUACAGAAAGAAAAUGAAGAUGGAUGCAAUGAAGAGCACAGACGGGAGAUUUAUGUCAAAGGGGUGUGACGCCUUUACCUCAGACUGAAGGGAGAGGUGUGCUAUAGAGAGAUUUCUGGGAAUCAAUCCAGAAGGACACGUGAGGUGGUGCCUCAAACCUGAUGCUCAUUGGAAGCUGGUUGAGCUUUUUGAGCAUGAGUGCUGGGAUGACAACUUGAAGAGAAAGUUUGGAGGAUGCACUGAGACUGGGAUAGGCUGCAGGCCAAAGAUAAAUAAAAGGGUGAGAGAAGGAGGAAAUCCCCCAAGGCAGGCUGUAAGUGGUAACUCUAUGGGGCAGCAUGGGAGCUGAGUGAAGGAAACUCAGCUGACUGUGAAGAAGCAGGUGACAGAUCCUGGGACUGAAACAGCACAGGGAUUUGUAAAGUUUGCAUGAAGAAAGGCCAAAGGGCUGAGGGAGUUGAGAUUUGCAAGAGAUGACUGAAAUCAUGGUCUAAGAGUUUAGCCCGGAGAAAAAAGGAUGGGAAGUCAAGAGUAGGCUGAGAAAUUGUGAGAAAAGUAUAGACUCACUCUAUCCUUAGCUUUUAUUGUGGUUAAACAAAAUAAACUCUCAUUGCCAACCAGAGUCAUAAGAUUCCUCAACUGUGCUGUUCACAGCCGUGUCAUAGAUCUACUUUGAAUUUUAAGAAAAUGUUCGCAGUUAAGGGAUUAACAAGACUUUUAUUCCAUGAAUGGGAAUAUAGGGGGAGCUGGACCUAAAAUUAAUGUCACUAAGAAAACUGAUAACAUCUUUAAAAUCUAGUUGAUCUUUUAGCUAUCUGGGUGUUAUCUGGAACAGAAAGAUAAGAAAAUGAUAAAGCUUUCUCCUCUUCAGAAUUACCUUCUUUGAUUUCAAAUAUUUUUGGUUCUCUUGUCUCUUGGGCUAAUUGUCAUUAUAGACAAGGGCUCUCGCUGCUAAGUUGCUUGCCCAACACACUGUGUAGCAAAAGAUUAAAAGGUAAUUGGAUCAAAAAUUUCACAGGAAAAACACACCGAGAUGAAAUAUCUGUUAGGCCUAUCCCCGGGAGGAGCACUAGGAUUAAGUGAGCCACAAAUAGUACAUGACGACCUCACCAAAUGCCGCAUUACUGAGCCUGAGUAAUAUGGUUAUAUAAUAAGAAGAAGCUGCUUUACUCGUGAUGAAAGAAAAAAAAAAAAAAAGAGCUGUUCACACUCUCCCAUUUCAUAUGCCAGACAAUCUGGAGUUGUUUUGAUCCUCAUAAAUAGGGUUGAUUUUAAUGUGGUCAUCAGAGCCUUUUUGGGAUCUUUAUAGGCCUGAGGCAUUCUUACUGUUGGAGACAGUCCCCCACCUAUCCCACAUUAUAAUAAGUAAAUUAGAAUGCACCGAGGUGUUAGAUCAAUUCUAAUUUGCAUAUUUAUUUCUGUAAUAAUUAUUGCAGUUAUUUUGUUCAUAUAUUUUACUACAGUUUAAUUAAAAUACAUAUUGCAUUUAGUUUUGCAAUGUUCUUUUAUUUUGCAGCUGGUAAUAUUUUUCCAGAUGUCUGUCAGACAUUGUGUUGGCCUUUAUAAAAUUCAUCAAUUAUAGGUACUAUGCCUGAUGAUACCUCUGGAUGAGUGGUCUUGUGCAUAGGGAGAGAAGUUGGACUCUCUGAGGAGAUAUGUAAGAUGAAGUCAAGGUCGCUGAGAAUGACUUCAAGUCCAAGCUUUGCAUCUAACCUAUUUGACUCAGGCAGGACCUUUUGUCUCCUUCUCAUUCACCAGUGCCAGCACCAAUGCUGUUUUUCUCUGCUCUUAGUAGAAACAGAUAAAUAAUUGGGCAAAUACAAUAAAGUGAUAACACUUAUGAAAGACUUAUUACAGGUUGCUAUGGGAACAAAUAGAAAGGGCAGAAAGUUCAAGGAAGUCAUUUUUUUUCCUUAGUGAAAAUAUAGAUAAUACUCAUGCUGCAGCAUUAAUUUUUUUUUACAGGCUUUAUAUGGAGGAUCAAAUAACAUCAGAAAACUUUCAUACUUUAGGAUACAGCAGAAACACCAUAGAAUUGGAAUCAGAAAAUUGGGUUUUAAAUUCCAAUUUGUUCCUCUGAACAAUCUGGGAAAACUGCUUAGCCUAUCUGGACCUCAGUCUCUACUUCUGUAAAAGAGCGUAUGCUGAGUUGAAUAGUGUUCCCCUCCAAAUUCACAUUCUAUCCAGAACCUGUGGAUGUGACCUUAUUUAGAAAUGAUGUGUUGGCAGAUGCAAUCAAGUUAAGAUGAGAUCAUACUGUAUUAGAGUGGACACUUGUCCAAGAACUGGUGUCCUGAAAGGAUGAGGGACAUUUGGAAACAAACAUACAGGAAUGUCAAGUAUUGCCAGCAACCACCAGAAGCUAGAAGAGGUAAGGAAGGAUCCUCCCCUUGAGCCCUUGGAGGGAGUAUGGCCAUGCUGACACCUUCAUUUCAGACUUCUAACCUCCAGAAUGGUGAGAGCAUACAUUUUUGUUGUUUGAGGACACCCAAUCUGGGCCAAUUUAUUUUGGCAGCCCUAGGAAAUUGAUACAGGGGGUAAUAACAGCACUUAUGUACCUCACAGUGGUGUUAUGCCAGGUCUAGUGAGGGUCUGACCUUGUGGGGUGAGAGUUAAAAGGGGUGCAGCCACUAGAAUCCAACCUCCAUAAUAUUCACUUUGGAGCAACCACACCCCAUUAGGACACCUCUGUCUGCCUUGUUCACUGUAUGUCAAUCCUCUCACUGCCAGUUUCUUCUACCAGCUUCCAAUCACCAUGCUAUUUGUUGACUCUUCAUUUAUAACUUUAUUUUCUAGCUUAAUAUUGCAUAGCCUAAAAUCAGUGGUUUGAUUUUUAUGAAUUUGCCAUUAGCAUCUCUGCUUCCACCUUUCUGCAUUGUCCCAGUGGGCUAGGAAAGACAUCCUGGAGGAGACUGUAAAGACAAAAAGCACAAAUGAUACUACAGCACUUCAUAGAUGGUAGUUAUUUGGAUAAAAAAUUACCAGUAUCCAAAGUGGAUAAGGAAGUAAUGUGCACCCAUGUGGGGACACAGUACAGAAGGCACUGGCUUGGAUUCUGGUCCCAACACUGCAGCUGGCUAACAUGGCCAUGUUGUAUAACCAACUGGUGCCUGAACAUCCAAGUCUGUAAAAUACGGGGCAGAGGGGGGAGGCAGAGUGGAGUACAUGAAGGUCCCCUCUAACUCCAGUAUCUCUUGAACUCUGCUUAAGCUGAAUUUUUAGAGGGAUACUUUAUGCAAGCAUUCAUAGAACUCUGAAACACACACACACACACACACACACACAUAUGUUUUCCUUCAUGAGGGAGUCCUUUAAUAGACAUGGGAAGGACAGGGUCAUGACUUGGUCCUGAGCCAAGGGAUGUAGUGGCUCCUCCUCCCCAACGCUGCAUGACUCUGGUAAAAGUUGACAUGGGAGAGGUGGUUUUAAAACAAACAUGGUGAGACUAAGUUUUCACUUUCAUGAAAAAAAGGGGAACUCGGGAGGAUUUGUACACAGAACAGAGUCUAAGCACCUAUUCCCAUAAGGCUGAAGCUUGUUACAUUCUGCACUGGACACUCUCCCCCCAAACUGUAUGCAUCCAAGUAAGACAAGAGCCUGGCUAGUCCCUGGCUGCACAUGAGGGACUGAUGACUCUAUAGCUCUUAGUGUUUUUACACUAUGCAUAUUGUUGUGCUUUAGAACUCCCUACCCUGCAGCCUCAACCUGAAGCAUCAGGUGAGAAGCCCUCUUCUACUUCAAGCUCAGACCCAGGAGACAGCAGCCCUACUCCUUGCUGGCUCUGUAAACUGAGGGGUCAUCAAAAGAGAUGGGUCAACGCUGGACAAGAUGCAGCCAGUGGGAGAAGGCAGGGUUGGAAGGACCAGGGUGAAAGCUGCAUGAUGCCAGUAAAUGUGCAGUUCUAAACCACGGCCCCCAAAUUCAUUGACAUUUCUCUCAUCAUCUGGAUCAGAGAAGGCAUCAAACCCUCUGGUACUCAAAGGGAGAAGAGUUUCCCAUUUACUUGUCAAUCUCAAUAGUUGAUGAAAGUAUCCAGGCCCAGACUAUACAGAGCUGAGAGUGACUCCAGGAACUCAUCAUGCAGAUUAAAUGGACUUCAUGAAGAACUUACUGUGGUGUGGUUUGUGAUGUUGUAUUGUAUUGUGUUAUGGUUUCCUGGUGUAGGAAAUAUCUGAGACAUAUCUGAUUCUAUUUUUCUUGUCCAUAUUAACCAAAGCCCUUGCAGGAAUUCAUACCAGGUAGUUCAACUGGCAAGACUUCAGGAAGGGUCUACUUAGGUAUAGGAACGAUGAAGGGAAAGGACAAAAGAUGGUGAGGCGCCCAGAGACAACUAACGAUGGGGAGCCAUUGCUGCCCUGUGACUAAGGAGACAAAGGAAACCAGGUUUGCUAUGGAAGUUCAUUAAGAGCUGGAACUGAGGAGGAGAGGCUGCUGGUAGGAGCUGUAAUUAUAACGGGAAUCAGACACUACCAUAGUCCUGGUGGAAAACCCUCUUGGCCUUUGAGUUCCUGCUGGUGCCACCCACUGCCCAGGCAUAAACAAUCCAUUGGGAGUUGGGGGGGGGGGUCUAAAUGUUGUAGACAAUAGGGAUCAUCACAGAACAGAGUGAAUGGAUUUGCAAAGGCAACCAGAGAAUAACCGGUAGUGAUCUCACCCACUGAGGACAGUAUUACUUGGCCUUACUACUGUUUCGGUUCUCUGAAUGCAACUGGGUGAUGGUAGGCUAUCCAAUAGUGUUACAGGGUCCCCCUCUCCAGUUAUUCCUUCUCAUAAUCCCAAGUGGUGGAGAGAUGGGAGGACUGACGGAUGGGGUAGGGGACAUGAGGGCAGAAGGAGAUAGAACAGGAAGAGUAUCACAUGGGUUAGAGAGAAAAAUAUGCAUGUAUGUCCUCAAUAAUUAGUUAUAAGCAUCCUUUAUUUUGGGGGGGGGAAGGGACUGUCUGGGGCCAACAAUCCCAGGGAGAAACAUCCAGAUGAAAGUUCAAUAGAGCAAUGAAGAAUAUGUGACACAGAAUUAAGGCCAGACCCUCUAGCAUGAGUACAACUCAGGAAGAUAGAAAAACCCACUGACAUUUCAGAACUUGUCAGUCCUGUUAAGUCAUUAAUUCCUUCCAGGAUCUAUUUUCAGUAGACCUCAAGAUGCACACCUGUAAGCAAUGGGGGCUGGGACCAAAUUGGGUGUACUAACCAAGAGGAUCCCUAGGAAGACAGCUUCUUCUGUUCCAAGGUUGUGUACUGCUUACGUGAAAGGGAGAGGUUAUCAGCAGUUUAACCAAAGCUUUCUUAUAAUCCUUCCUGUUAUGAAAAUGUAAGUACAAGCUGGGAAAUUUUCCUCAAGUGAUAAUGCUUUGCUAAAGAAAACAGCUUAGUGUUCUGAUUUUACUUCAGUUAAUCUUAGGCAUUUUAUAAAAAUAUAAAUUUAGUGUUUUAUCUAAAAUCGGAUAAGUAGUUCUAAUUCAGAUGAGGGGGCGGUGGUGGGGUGUGGUAGGUAGCUAUGUAUAUCAUCUUUAUAUUGUGGUUUCAAUCUGGGCAAAGUUUAACUCAUGUGUAUAUACUAAUAUAUAUUCACACAUAUAUUCAUAUACAUAUAUACACUUGACAUUAUCUAAAGUUCUAUUUAUGAUUAUGUUAAUAUUUUUAUUUUUAUAUAAUCCUUUUUCUUUUUCACAAAUUUAUUAGCAAAGACAUUUGAAAGAGUACUAUUUACUCAUUGUCUUAAACAUGUCAUAGGGAAGGUUUUUUUAAUACUAUUUUUAAUUGAUUAUAUUCAGCUUAUCUCCACUGCUUUGUAUAAAUCAUCCUGUAAAGACUUUUCACUUCCAAUUUUAAAUGUGA